AAUUAGCUGUGAUCAGCUCACCUGAAGUACUCUCAGGGCUCUUGGAUGUCUCAAGAAACAACAACCUGGAAGAAAUUAUUGCUCUGGCAGCUGUUCUUAUCAGAUGUAUGCAAUUCGACGGUCAAUGCAGAAAACAGAUAAACCAUUCUGCUCCACUGGCUCCAUUUAUCUCUCUUUUGAGAAGCAAUUAUGAGCGUGCAACGUCAAUUGCAUUGGAGUUUUUCCAUGAACUGCUGAGAAUUCCAAGGUCAUCAGCCAUUGAGGUGCUGCAGAAAAUACAACAAGACGGAAGCAACAACAAUAAGUGUGCAUUAUUACUUCUCAUCCAAAAGUCACAACCUGAGUACAAAAUUUUGGCAGCGAAUUUGUUGCUUCAGUUAGACAUGCUGGAAGAAACAUCAGGUAAAUUUGUAUAUUGUGAAGAGGCUAUGGAAGCUCUACUCGAGUCAGUAUCGUGUGAAGAGAAUUCUGCAACACAGGCUCUAUCAGCAUUCAUCCUAUCAAACCUUGGUGGAACCUUCUCUUGGUCAGGAGAACCUUACACAAUACCAUGGUUGCUUAAAAAGGCCGGUUUGACUUCCUUGCCACACAAGAACAUGAUAAAGAAUGUUGACUUUUCGGAUAAAUGUCUACAGGACAAUGGCAUAGAGACAUGGUGUAGCAAAGUAGCGAGGCGCUUCUUAAAGUUUGGAAGUCCUCUAUUCCAUGCUUUAGAGAAAGGACUUGAGAGCGAAUCAAGAAGUACCUCCCGAGAUUAUCUUGCUGCUACUGCAUGGCUGGGGUCUGAAAU
rnacentral:misc_RNA from 1 species